UAACAUCAAACGUUUUCGACUGGUUUGGCUAGUGACAACACUACACGUAAAAGUGAGGAUGUCCCGUGAAACUUUGGUUGGAAGGACAGUUGUGUACUCUUUACAUAAACCAUUACAUGUUUGCAACAGAGCUGCCCAUUUAGUGCUUGGUUCUUAAGGAAACGAAUGCUUCGAGCCUGGAAUGCACACGAAAAUAGUUACAACACGGCGGUGCAUAGCUUUUUAAGUUUUAAUUUUCCUUGACAUGCUGUCAGAAGGAAAAAAUAAUGGAACGCCUCCGCUAUAAGUUUACAUUAUCGCUCCUGGCACUUUGUCUCCUGUGCGGACCAGGACACAUGGUGAAUGCUUCCCAACUUCAGCACAAUUUUAGCUAUGUGCUCGGCCUUUCCUAUAGGUAAAUCCUAUUACAUGAAAAGCACGCUUAAAUAUCAAAUUUCCAGGCAUCUGUCGGGACCCAGCCUAGCGUGGGUCGUUGCUUUCAACGUAUCGGUACCAAAGCUUCACCUCCUUGAAACGGCAUUACCACUUUAGACGCAAAACAUGGUGGUACUGUACAGGUUCUAUGAGGCGCAAAUGUCCGGGGAGGUGCCGGCAUGGUCCCGAGCAUCCCAAGCACAGGGGGGAUGGCGUAACUGGAGCCACA
rnacentral:lncRNA from 1 species